ACGGUCAUAUAACAUUGAAAACACCGGUUUUUGUCCGAUCAUCGAAGUUAAGCAAUGUCGGGCCCGGUCAGUACUUGGGAGGGUGAACAUCGGUUGCUGUAGGCU